rnacentral:rRNA from 1 species
UCCGUAGGUGAACCUGCGGAAGGAUCAUUACAGAGUUCAUGCCCGAAAGGGUAGACCUCCCACCCUUGUGUAUUAUUACUUUGUUGCUUUGGCGAGCUGCCUUCGGGCCUUGUAUGCUCGCCAGAGAAAACCAAAACUCUUUUUAUUAAUGUCGUCUGAGUACUAUAUAAUAGUUAAAACUUUCAACAACGGAUCUCUUGGUUCUGGCAUCGAUGAAGAACGCAGCGAAAUGCGAUAAGUAAUGUGAAUUGCAGAAUUCAGUGAAUCAUCGAAUCUUUGAACGCACAUUGCGCCCCUUGGUAUUCCGGGGGGCAUGCCUGUUCGAGCGUCAUUUCAACCCUCAAGCUUAGCUUGGUAUUGAGUCUAUGUCAGUAAUGGCAGGCUCUAAAAUCAGUGGCGGCGCCGCUGGGUCCUGAACGUAGUAAUAUCUCUCGUUACAGGUUCUCGGUGUGCUUCUGCCAAAACCCAAAUUUUUCUAUGGUUGACCUCGGAUCAGGUAGGGAUACCCGCUGAACUUAAGCAUAUCAAUAAGCGGAGGA